rnacentral:rRNA from 1 species
AAAACUCACCAGGUCCAGAUACACGUAUGAAAGACAAGCUGAAAGACUUUUCUCAAUGAUGUAAGUGGUGGUGCAUGGUCGUUCUUAGUUCGUGGAUUGAUUUGUCUGGUCUAUUCCGAUAACGAGCGAGACCCCGACGUUCCUACUAUGGGGUAGCAGCCCGGCUUGCCGGGUCAAACCGGCUUGCUAGCACGCUACCUAAGACAAGCUUCUUAGACGUAUCAGAGCCGAUAAGGUUCUUGAAAUGGGUUAAUAACAGGUCAGUCAUGCCCUUAGAUGUUCUGGGCCGCACGCGCGUUACAAUGGUAUACAUUAGAACGUGCUCUUAAUGCGGCGUUUCCGCGGCCGAAAGGCUGCGGUAACCAGUAAUCUCUCCCUUGACUGGGACAGACUAUUGCAAUUAUUGGUCUCCAACGAGGAAUUUUUAGUAGUCACAGGUCAUUAACCUGUGACGAAUGCGUCCCUGCCCUUUGUACACACCGCCCGUCGCUGCUACCGAUU